UUCGGUCAUACAAUCUGUGAAACAUCGCAUCCCGUCAGAUCUGCGCAAUCAAGUCAGGUGUCGCUCGGUCAGUACCAACGUGGGGGGCCCCGUUGGGAAUCCCGAGUACCGUAGUU